GAGAACUCUUGUGUCUCAGUCUCCUCCUCACGCUGUGGACUCUCUCAGUCAUCAUCAUCAUCAUCAUCAUCAGUAUCUCCUCACUCUUCACCUCAUGGAUGUGACACAGUUUCUUCUGUGGACUCUCUCAGUCAUCAUCAUCAUCAUCAGUGCAGACUGCUGGUGAGGAGUGAUCGAAACGUGAAAACAAAAUGGAGCACAAGAGCGAUGCUGAUAAAACCUCUGAGAUCACUCGAGUUCCCUCGCUCAGCAUCACAGCGCAGGGGGGAAGCAAUGUGGUCGCUCCCUGCUUCAAUGGUUGUACUGUUGGCAACGUAAACAUCUAUAUCAACUCAUGUCACUCAGGUAGUGUAUAUAUAGUCAAGCCUAAAUCACCACAGAUACAUGACAUGCAGAAAAUGAAGUUGUAAAAAAUUUACCAGACAUCUCUUGGAAAGGUAUUUGUUUACAGAUGUUAAAUGAUAAUAUGAAUUGUUACAGAUGUGGCUGUAAAUUACAUUACACACUAUUACAUUAUGCCCAAUGUUGCUUUUG